rnacentral:lncRNA from 1 species
UGAGGAGUUGAGUGCUAAGGAGUAUGUAAGCACAGUGGACACGCUGAAGUAUCUAAGCCAAAGAACCCUGUGUUUCACAUCCCAAAGUGUUACAGAAGGAAGUGAUUGGAAAUUGAAAAUGCCAGUGCUUAAGAUGUUUUCAAAAGACUUGACUUCUCAGCCUGGUCAACUGGAUCAACAGGAAAAAGAGGUCCUAAACUUCAUCUAAGUAAGAACUACAUGAGAGCUUGGUAAGUGGACUUUGGCAUUUUAGAAACAAAGAAGCUAGUACUAUCUCUUAUUCAGGAAAAAUAUUAGUGACAGG